UCUUGUGUACAUGCCUACAACAUAGCAUUAAUGCAAUGGAUCCCUUUAGAACUCCGCAGUUAAGCACACUCGGGAUAGAAUAGUACUAGUAUGGUUGACUACCAGAGAAUUCCUAGUGUUUUACAUGCC
rnacentral:rRNA from 1 species